AUACGGAGGGUGCGAAGCGUUGUUCGGAAUUAUUGGGCGUAAAGCGCGUGUAGGCGGUCUUUUAAGUCUGAUGUGAAAGCCCUGGGCUCAACCCAGGAAGUGCAUUGGAAACUGGGAGACUUGAAUACGGGAAAGGGUAGUGGAAUUCCUAGUGUAGGAGUGAAAUCCAUAGAUAUUAGGAGGAACACCGGUGGCGAAGGCGGCUACCUGGACCGAUAUUGACGCUGAGACGCGAAAGCGUGGGGAGC
rnacentral:rRNA from 1 species